AGUGAACGCUGGCGGUAGGCCUAACACAUGCAAGUCGAACGGCAGCACAGGAGAGCUUGCUCUCUGGGUGGCGAGUGGCGGACGGGUGAGGAAUACAUCGGAAUCUACUCUGUCGUGGGGGAUAACGUAGGGAAACUUACGCUAAUACCGCAUACGACCUACGGGUGAAAGCAGGGGACCUUCGGGCCUUGCGCGAUUGAAUGAGCCGAUGUCGGAUUAGCUAGUUGGCGGGGUAAAGGCCCACCAAGGCGACGAUCCGUAGCUGGUCUGAGAGGAUGAGCAGCCACACUGGAACUGAGACACGGUCGAGACUCAUACGGGAGGCAGCAGUGGGGAAUAUUGGACAAUGGGCGCAAGCCUGAUCCAGCCAUACCGCGUGGGUGAAGAAGGCCUUCGGGUUGUAAAGCCCUUUUGUUGGGAAAGAAAUCCAGCUGGCUAAUACCCGGUUGGGAUGACGGUACCCAAAGAAUAAGCACCGGCUAACUUCGUGCCAGCCGCCGCGGUAA
rnacentral:rRNA from 1 species